rnacentral:rRNA from 1 species
UGGGGAAUAUUGCACAAUGGGCGCAAGCCUGAUGCAGCCAUGCCGCGUGUGUGAAGAAGGCCUUCGGGUUGUAAAGCACUUUCAGCGAGGAGGAAGGCAUAAAGGUUAAUAACCUUUGUGAUUGACGUUACUCGCAGAAGAAGCACCGGCUAACUCCGUGCCAGCAGCCGCGGUAAUACGGAGGGGGCAAGCGUUAAUCGGAAUUACUGGGCGUAAAGCGCACGCAGGCGGUUAGUUAAGUCAGAUGUGAAAUCCCCGCGCUUAACGUGGGAACUGCAUUUGAAACUGGCAAGCUAGAGUCUUGUAGAGGGGGGUAGAAUUCCAGGUGUAGCGGUGAAAUGCGUAGAGAUCUGGAGGAAUACCGGUGGCGAAGGCGGCCCCCUGGACAAAGACUGACGCUCAGGUGCGAAAGCGUGGGGAGCAAACA